CUAAUGGGGAUCCAUAAUAAACCCCAGGAAGAGUAGCUGCUGCCUUGACAGGAACUAAUGGGGAUCCAUAAUAAACCCCAGGAAUAGUAGCUGCUGCCUUAGCAGGAACUAAUGGGGAUCCAUAAUAAACCCCAGGAAGAGUAGCUGCUGCCUUGACAGGAACUAAUGGGGAUCCAUAAUAAACCCCAGGAAGAGUAGCUGCUGCCUUGGCAGGAACUAAUGGGGAUCCAUAAUAAACCCCAGGAAGAGAAGCUGCUGCCUUGGCAGGAACAGUUAAGUUAGGUAGCUUGGGGGGGGGGGUAACUAAUGGAGAUCACUUAUAGAUGCAAAUACGUCCCUGUUAGUGAGCAUUUCUCCUUUGCCAAGAUAAUCCAUCCACCUGACAGGUGUGGCAUUUCAAGAAGCUGAUUAAACAGCAUGAUCAUUACACAGGUGCAGCUUACGCUGGGGACAAUAAAAGGCCGCUCUAAAAUGAUCCAUUUGGUCACACAACACAAUGCCACAGAUGUCUCAAGUUUUGAGGGAGCGUGCAAUUGGCAUGUUGACUGCAGGAAUGUCCACCAGAUCUGUGGCCAGAGAAUUGAAUGUUAAUUUCUCUACCAUAAGCCGCCUCCAACGUCGUUUUAAAGAGUUUGGCACUACGUCCAACAGGCCUCACAACCGCUGACAGCCCAGGACCUCCACAUCCGGCUUCUUCACCUGCGGGAAGGUCUGUGACCAACAGAUGCAUAGUCAAGUGAAAUCCAUAGAUUAGGGCCUAAUGUAUUUCUUUAAAUUGACUGAUUUCUGUAUAUGAACUGUAACUCAGUAAAAUCUUUGACAUUGUUGCAUACACCAUACAGUUUUAUACCAGAUACAUCAUAUAGUUUUAUACCAGAUACACCAUACAGUUUUAUAACAGAUAUACCAUUUAGUUAUAUAACAGAUAUACCAUAUAGUUUUAUAACAGAUAUACCAUAUAGUUUUAUAACAGAUAUACCAUAUAGUUUUAUAACAGAUACACCAUAUAGUUUUAUAACAGAUAUACCAUAUAGUUUUAUAACAGAUACACCAUAUAGUUUUAUAACAGAUAUACCAUUUAGUUAUAUAACAGAUAUACCAUAUAGUUUUAUAACAGAUACACCAUAUAGUUUUAUAACAGAUAUACCAUAUAAUUUUAUAACAGAUAUACCAUAUAUAUUUUAUAACAGAGCUAUGGGAGAUAGUUUUUUAGGAAUGUGUCUCAUUGUACUGGUUCUCACCAUAAUCUAAGGGCCCCAAGGGGGGUGUCACAUGUGGUCAGCCACCUCCUCUCCCUCUGUCCAGCUUCUCUUUCUCAAGUGGCUGUUAACCUGACAGAGAUGUGGUAGCCUGCUGUGGACACACACACACACACACACACACACACACACACACACACACACACACACACACACACACACACACACACACACACACACACACAGACAGACACAGAUUUUGGUUAAACUAUCCCCAAUUCAAUGGAAUUGCAACCCUCUGCAUGCACAGUGCAUUCUUCCAUCACAUGUACAGUGCAUUCUUCCAUCACAUGCACAGUGCAUUCUUCCAUCACAUGUACAGUGCAUUCUUCCAUCACAUGCACAGUGCAUUCUUCCAUCACAUGUACAGCUGAUUCUCAAGAUCUUGCACACUAAUGAGAUGCUAUUGAGCCCACAGUACUACACUAAUUAGAUGCUAUUGAGCCCACAGUACUACACUAAUGAGAUGCUAUUGAGCCCACGCUACUACACUGUCUGAGCCAAGGACUACAUGCUUUCUGGAAAAUGCCACGUGCACUAUCUGAUGUGUGGAGACAUUUCACUGCAGCCUAAUGUAGAAGGAAAAGCUGUGGUACAUUUGCAAACACUGUGCCAAAUCAUAUGUGAAGUAUGCAACAAAGAUGCAGAGUCAUCUGGCCAAGUGCAUAAAGUUCCCUCAGCGCUCACGACAAGCAACCUCUGACAAAAGUCCCUCUACUUCUUAUUCGAGGUGUAAAUGACGAAUCAGACAACUUAUCGAUGGCAACCGCUCAUGGUCCUCCUUCCAAUAGAAAUUGAUCCUCCAAUAGAAAUUGAUCCUCCAAUUUUAUCAUUUGUAAUCUCCAUAUGAGAUGGUAAAUAUAUCCAAUGCAAAAAACAUCUACACUUAAAUGCUUGUAAUAUUAAUUCCCAUAUAUUUCCGUUAAUUCCCAUAUAUUUCCGUUAAUUCCCAUAUAUUUCCGUUAAUUCCCAUAUAUUCCAGUUAAUUCCCAUAUAUUCCCGUUAAUUCCCAUAUAUUUCCGUUAAUUCCCAUAUAUUUCCGUUAAUUCCCAUAUAUUCCAGUUAAUUCCCAUAUAUUCCAGUUAAUUCCCAUAUAUUUCCGUUAAUUCCCAUAUAUUUCCGUUAAUUCCCAUAUAUUCCAGUUAAUUCCCAUAUAUUCCAGUUAAUUCCCAUAUAUUUUCGUUAACUCCCAUAUAUUCCCGUUAAUUCCCAUAUAUUCCCGUUAAUUCCCAUAUAUUCCCGUUAAUUCCCAUAUAUUUCCAUUAAUUCCCACGGAAAGUUUCCACCUCUGAAUAUUCUCCAAAAUGUGCAACCCUGGUCGUGCUUAAGAACAGCCCUUAGCCGUGGUAUAUUGGCCAUAUACCACACCUCCACAGGCUUUAUGGCUUAAAUAUAGUAUUAUGUUAUAUUGUAUUAUAUAUUAUUGAGAGUAAUCUGCUCCUGCUGUAUAUCUGGUCCACUGGGCUGGCCAUUCUGCCUGUCUGUCUGUCUGCCUGUCUGUCUGCCUGUCUGUCGGGUGUAAAGAUCAGGUGUAUCAUAAAUGAAUGAACCUUGUGUUAAGCCCUCUGACUAACACCUUCUAUUUCAUAACACCCCUGUCUGCUACUCUGCUGUAUGCUUGAACUAUAUCUGGCUAAAAACACUGGAUGAAUGGAGAUAAUAGAUAAAGCGAAACAGAGAGAGAUAAUAGAGAGAUAAUAACACUGUACAGUUGAAAAUCGGACGUUAACAUACACCUUAGCCAAAUACUUUUAAACACAGUUUUUCCCACAAUUUCUGACAUUUAAUCCCAGUAAAAUAUUCCCUGUCUUAGGUCAGUUAGGAUCACCACUUUAUUUUAAGAAUGUGAAAUGUCAGAAUAAUAGUAGAGAGAAUGAUUUAUUUCAGCUUUUAUUUCUUUCAUCACAUUCCCAGUGGGUCAGAAGUUUACAUACACUCAAUUAGGAUUUGGUAGCAUUGCCUUUAAAUUGUUUAACUUGGGUCAAACGUGUCGGGUAGCCUUCCACAAGCUUCCCACAAUAAGUUGGGUGAAUUUUGUCCCAUUCCUCCUGACUAGUCCUUCCUGCAGCAAAGCACCGCCACAACAUGAUGCUGCCAUCUCCGUGCUUCAAGGUUGGGAUGGUGUUCUUCGGCUUGCAAGCCCCCCCUUUUCAUCCAAACAUAACGAUGGUCAUUAUGGCCAAACAAGUUCUAUUUUUGAUUCAUCAGACCAGAGGACAUUUCUCCACAAAGUAUGAUCUUUGUCCCCAUGUGCAGUUGCAAACCGUAGUCUGGCUUUUUUAUGGUGGUUUUGGAGCAGUGGCUUCUUCCUUGCUGAGCGGUCUUUCAGAUUAUGUCGAUAUAGGACUCGUUUUACUGUGGAUAUAGAUACUUUUGUACCUGUUUCCUCCAGCAUCUUCACAAGGUCCUUUGCUGUUCUGGGAUUGAUUUGAACUUUUCGCACCGAAGUACGUUCAUCCCUAGGAGACAGAACGCGUCUCCUUCCUGAGCGGUAUGACGGCUGCGUGGUCCCAUGGUGUUUAUACUUGCGUACUAUUGUUUGUACAGAUGAACGUGGUACCUGUUUGGAAAUUACUCCCAAUGAUGAUACAAUGAUACUCCCAAUGAAAUUUCUCCCAAUGAUGAACCAGACUUGUGGAGAUCUACAAUUUUUUUUCUGAGGUCUUGGCUGAUUCCUUUUGAUUUUCCCAUGAUGUCAAGCAAAGAAGCACCGAGUUUGAAAGUAGGCCUUGAAAUACAUCCACAGGUACACCUCCAAUUGACUCAAAAGUUGUCAAUUAGCCUAUCAGAAGAUAUCAGAAGCUUCUUAAGCCAUGACAUCAUGUUUAAAGGCACAGUCAACUUAGUGUACGUAAACUUCUGACCCACUGGAAUUGUGAAUCAGUGAAUUAUAAGUGAAAUAAUCUGUCUGGAAACAAAUGUUGGAAAAAUUUAUUGUGUCAUGGACAAAGUAGAUGUCCUAACCGACUUCCCUUAACUAUAGUUUGUUAACAAGAAAUUAGUGGAGUGGUUGAAAAAUGACUCCAACCUAAGUGUAUGUAAACUUUCGACUUCAACUGUACAUAAUUUUACAUUUGUACUGUUGAUUUUUAUUAGAGAGAGAGAGAGACAGAGAGAGAGAGAGAGAGAGGGACAAGAGAGAGAGAGGGACAAGAGAGAGAGAGAGAGAGAGAGAGAGACGGAGAGAGAGAGAGAGGGAGGGAGAGAGAGAGAGAGAGAGAGAGAGAGAGAGACGGAGAGAGAGAGAGAGGGAGGGGGAGAGAGAGAGAGAGAGACAAAGAGAGACAGAGAGACAGAGAGAGAGACAGAGAGAGAGAGAGAGAGAGAGAAACAAACAAACAAACUGAACAGUGUGUGCUACCAACAAUGUGCUACUAUCCCGAUGCAAAUAAAGAUCCCUUUCAAUGA